CCUCGGGGGGCUGCAGUGGGGAAUAUUGGACAAUGGGGGAAACCCUGAUCCAGCGACGCCGCGUGAGUGAAGAAGUAUUUCGGUACGUAAAGCUCUAUCAGCAGGAAAGAAAAUGACGGUACCUGACUAAGAAGCCCCGGCUAACUACGUGCCAGCAGCCGCGGUAAUACGUAGGGGGCAAGCGUUAUCCGGAUUUACUGGGUGUAAAGGGAGCGUAGACGGCAGCGCAAGUCUGGAGUGAAAUGCCGGGGCCCAACCCCGGAACUGCUCUGGAAACUGUCUGGCUGGAGUACAGGAGAGGUAAGUGGAAUUCCUAGUGUAGCGGUGAAAUGCGUAGAUAUUAGGAGGAACACCAGUGGCGAAGGCGGCUUACUGGACUGUAACUGACGUUGAGGCUCGAAAGCGUGGGGAGCAAACAGGAUUAGAUACCCCUGGUAGUC
rnacentral:rRNA from 1 species